UACGUAGGGGGCAAGCGUUGUCCGGAAUCAUUGGGCGUAAAGCGCGCGUAGGCGGCCCGAUAAGUCCGCUGUGAAAGUCAAAGGCUCAACCUUUGAAUGCCGGUGGAUACUGUCGGGCUAGAGUCCGGAAGAGGCGAGUGGAAUUCCUGGUGUAGCGGUGGAAUGCGCAGAUAUCAGGAGGAACACCUAUUGCGAAGGCAGCUCGCUGGGACGUAACUGACGCUGAGACGCGAAAGCGUGGGGAGCAAACAGG
rnacentral:rRNA from 1 species